CGGCGGCCAGCGCUGAGCCCUUGGGCGCCGGGGGUGAGCGCGGGGGUCGCGGCGACCGAAGCGGGUCCGCGGGCUCUCCUCCUCCCGGCGUCGCCCGCCACGCCUCCUUCCCUUGGCAGCUGCGCUUGCGGGAGACAGAAGUAAAGUGAAAAAUUACCCCUCAGGAUGGGAUGGCCACCUGCAAUCUUUUCAGCAUUCUCUCUGGACUUGGGGCACAUAGGCACACGUGCCUGGUGUGAGAGCUCUCCUUGUUCAUUUCAGCCUCAGACUCAAGACUCUGCCUUCCUGGGAGCACAACCUAUAACACAUGUUUUGGAUUUUCACUUAUUGCCACCUCUUCAGAAAGUCCUUCCUUGGUUAUCUUCACUAGGAUUGAAACCUUCAUCCGACAUACUCAGUAUUACUUUCCUGUUUUACUUUUCUCUUUACAAUGUGUUACCAUGUAGCAUUAUCUUUAUUUUAUUUAUUUUUCCUGUCUAUUGUCUUUCUCUCUCCACCAGCAUGUUCUGAAUCAUGAAGAUGGGGAUUCAUGUGUGAUAUGCUUACUGGUGAAUUUUUAGCAUCUGGAAUAGGUGUGGUAGAUAUUCCUGAAUACAGGACUGUUGAGUGAAUGUUGCAUAAAAAAGUGAGUGGGUCCCAGGGAACGUAGUUGAUCAGCAGGGUGCUGGAGGGGGAUGGAGAUAGAAGAAGCUGAUAAAAGGUGUAGGCAUGCUUGCUAAUAAGGGGGUACCUAGGGUUGCCCAUGAAGGAAUAACUUGAAAUGCAGGAGAUGAAAGAGGAAAUUGGGCCAGAUAGAUUUAGCAGAGUUUAGGAGAGGAGAAAGAAGAAGAAGAAGAGAUGGGGUCGGCAGGUGGAACAGUUGUAAAACAAUGCUCUGUGAUGCUGGACCCACAUGGGAACAACGCAGGUUUGCACCCCAGGCCUCCCCGUACACACAAUAAAUGUGUGUACACUCAUGAUCUGGCUGGCUGGGGCUGAAGAUAGAUUAGAUGUAAAGAUCCUGUUGGGGGUGUUUCCCCCCCCCCUCUAAUGGAAUAAGUCAAUAUACAUAAAAGGAGAGGAGGAGGAGGAGAUAGCUAUAGUGAGAUUCUGGACUUCAGGAACAUGGAAAUGAGGAUAAUUUUUAGACUCUGUACUGUAUGUUGUAUGAUGUAAUCUUUCAUAGCUGCCUUCCUUAUUAAAACCUUCAGCAAAACAUCUAUAGUGAUAGAGCACACCCUGGUAGUGGUUAGGCUUAAAGGCUUUAGAGUAGAUGGCUUAGGUUCCAAGCUCAGCACUGGCAUUUACCACGUGACCUUGGGUAAUUUCCACAUGCCUUGGUUUGCUCAUCUGUAAAAUGAAGAUAAUACUGGGACCAGCAGUUGGCGUAAUGGCUAUGUUGCUGGACUCCCAUGUAGCCGACCAUGGUUCAA